GUGCUCACUUCGGCAGCACACAUACUAAAACUGGAACCAUACAGAGAGGGUUAGCAUGGCCCCUGCACAAGGGGGACAGGCAAGUUCGUGAAGCCUUCCAUAUUUUA
ensembl:snRNA U6 U6 spliceosomal RNA